rnacentral:rRNA from 1 species
GACGAACGCUGGCGGCGUGCCUAAUACAUGCAAGUUGAGCGCUGAAGGUUGGUCCUUGUACCAACUGGAUGAGCAGCGAACGGGUGAGCAACGCGUGGGGAAUCUGCCUUUGAGCGGGGGACAACAUUUGGAAACGAAUGCUAAUACCGCAUAAAAACUUUAAACACAAGUUUUAAGUUUGAAAGAUGCAAUUGCAUCACUCAAAGAUGAUCCCGCGUUGUAUUAGCUAGUUGGUGAGGUAAAGGCUCACCAAGGCGAUGAUACAUAGCCGACCUGAGAGGGUGAUCGGCCACAUUGGGACUGAGACACGGCCCAAACUUCUACGGGAGGCAGCAGUAGGGAAUCUUCGGCAAUGGACGAAAGUCUGACCGAGCAACGCCGCGGGAGUGAAGAAGGGUUUCGGAUCGGAAAACUCUGUUGGUAGAGAAGAACGUUGGUGAGAGUGGAAAGCUCAUCAAGUGACGGUAACUACCCAGAAAGGGACGGCUAACUACGUG